rnacentral:rRNA from 1 species
AGUGAACGCUGGCGGUAGGCCUAACACAUGCAAGUCGAACGGCAGCACAGUAAGAGCUUGCUCUUACGGGUGGCGAGUGACGGACGGGUGAGGAAUACAUCGGAAUCUACUUUUUCGUGGGGGAUAACGGAGGGAAACUUACGCUAAUACCGCAUACGAUCUACGGGUGAAAGCAGGGAUCUUCGGACCUUGUGCGAUUGAAUGAGCCGAGGUCGGAUUAGCUAGUUGGCGGGGUAAAGGCCCACCAAGGCGACGAUCCGUAGCUGGUCUGAGAGGAUGAUCAGCCACACUGGAACUGAGACACGGUCCAGACUCCUACGGGAGGCAGCAGUGGGGAAUAUUGGACAAUGGGCGCAAGCCUGAUCCAGCCAUACCGCGUGAGUGAAGAAGGCCUUCGGGUUGUAAAGCCCUUUUGUUGGGAAAGAAAAGCAGCAGGUUAAAACCCCGCUGUUCUGACGGUACCCAAAGAAUAAGCACCGGCUAACUUCGUG